rnacentral:rRNA from 1 species
AUGAUGGCUGGUUCAGGUUCAUCUCAAGUUGCAAGUUCAUCACUUAAGAGGAAGUCGGAUGACAUGGCUUGGGAGUUUGCCGAGUUGAUUGAUCCUAGUGAUCCACAAAGGCUCAAGUGCAAGCUUUGUGGAAAAGUUAUGUCGGGAGGGGUCACUAGGAUGAAGGAGCACAUUGGGCAGAUCAAAGGCACUGUGACCAGCUGUAUGAAAGCUACACAAGAUCAGAUUACUCGAGCUUUUGCAUCACACGAGGCACCAAAGAGGAAGAAAUUGGCAAAGCAAAAGCGUGAAGAAGAAGUUAAAGCUGCAGUCACCAUAGAGGUCAACGAGGAUGAUCAAGAACAACUGAAUGAAGUUGGUGAAGGUACUCCAAAGAAGGGGGCAAUGGAUCAAUAUCUUGCACCAAUUGAUCCUUCGAUCCCGUUGAAAUCUAAAAAACAGCAGACUAUAAAUGAUAGUGUUGAUAAGGAAAGAAGCUACAAAGUUGGGCAAUAUUUGGCUAGAUGGAUGUACAAGAAAAUGUACCCUUCAAUGCUAUCAAUGAUGAUGAUUUCAAACAGUUUUGUGAGGCUCUUGGUCGCUAUGGUCCUGAUUGGAAGCAACCCUCGCAAUAUAUGA